AUUGAACGCUGGCGGAAUGCUUUACACAUGCAAGUCGAACGGCAGCACGGGGGCAACCCUGGUGGCGAGUGGCGAACGGGUGAGUAAUACAUCGGAACGUGCCCGGUCGUGGGGGAUAACGUAGCGAAAGUUACGCUAAUACCGCAUACGAUCUGAGGAUGAAAGCGGGGGACCUUCGGGCCUCGCGCGAUCGGAGCGUCCGAUGUCAGAUUAGGUAGUUGGUGGGGUAAAGGCCUACCAAGCCGACGAUCUGUAGCUGGUCUGAGAGGACGACCAGCCACACUGGGACUGAGACACGGCCCAGACUCCUACGGGAGGCAGCAGUGGGGAAUUUUGGACAAUGGGCGCAAGCCUGAUCCAGCCAUUCCGCGUGCAGGACGAAGGCCUUCGGGUUGUAAACUGCUUUUGUAUGGAACGAAAAGGCUCUGGCUAAUACCUGGGGCUCAUGACGGUACCGUAAGAAUAAGCACCGGCUAACUACGUG
rnacentral:rRNA from 1 species